UGAGGAAUAUUGGGCAAUGCCCGCAAGGGUGACCCAGCAACGCCGCGUGGAGGAUGAAUGUCGUAAGAUUGUAAACUCCUGUUAGAGGGGAAGAAUAGUACCGGUUGGACCGGUAUAUGACUGUACCCUCAGAGAAAGCCCCGGCUAACUACGUGCCAGCAGCCGCGGUAAUACGUAGGGGGCAAGCGUUGUCCGGAUUUACUGGGUGUAAAGGGCGCGCAGGCGGGAUAAAAAGUCAGUGGUGAAAUCCUACAGCUUAACUGUAGAACUGCCUUUGAUACUUUUAUUCUUGAGUUCGGGAGAGAGAGACGGAAUUCCAGGUGUAGUGGUGAAAUACGUAGAUAUCUGGAAGAACACCAGAUGCGAAGGCGGUCUCUUGGUCCGACACUGACGCUGAGGCGCGAAAGCGUGGG
rnacentral:rRNA from 1 species